GAUAUUCUGGAUAAAUAUGAUGUUAUGGUUGAUUAUUUCCCAGCAGCAGGGAGGAGCUGCGUUGCCUGAAUAUCAGCCCUGCAGUUUGCAGGAAGUGGCUUAGCGCUUCUUAAGUUCCUGGAGCUGAAGAUGUUUGACAUGAAGGCUGUCAGUGUUUUACUACAACAUGUUCCUUUGAUAAAUGGGAGCUAAUCGCUACGCUAAGUGUUGACUGAUCUGAGCCAAACCAUCAGCUAUAAUUCACGGCUCGGAUUUUAGGGGCACAAACAACAACAGCAGCUGUGACCUUCAGGAAGGUAUGGUGGCUCCCUGGAAGGCUCUAUAAAUGCCUUCUAUUAUUCAUCAAAGGAAGUCCCCAACCACAUUAUAAUGCUGCUCAACACAGCCUCAAUGCAGAACAUGACAAAUAUCUUAAUAUGCUCCAGCUUGAACCGUGCGCCCAGACUGAGGCGUGCACGUGUUCAAACGCUCACCUGGAACUUCCUGUGUGACUGAGGCGUGUUUCAUGAAGGCAUGUGGGAAAUAUGGGGCUAUUAUGACUGACAACCUGUGUAACCUGUGAGAGCAUCGGGGUACAAAGGAACCUCUGUUUGCAUAUCUAGAAAACAUGAGCACCAUGCAGAGGCAGCAGCGGUGUCAUCUUUCUCAUUUGCUCCUCUCUCCUGCUCACCUUGUGGGAAAUCUGUUUGCAGAUUGAACGCCAUCAAAGACGAGCAAUAUUUUUAGAAGGUUUAAACUGCCUC